rnacentral:lncRNA from 1 species
AUUUCUGCAUUUCUGACACGUGUAGGUGACGCCAGGGCGCCUGCUUCAGGGACCGCAGUUUGAGUAGCAGGGUUUUAUAUGGCUGCGAGAUGGAAGGUGUUGCUCUGCUGGGAACUUCAGGUGUAGUAACCCAGAAACCCAGAGAUAAAGGUCCAGAGGGAAGGAAGCACGAAACUCUCGACGUUUUCAGUACGCCCGAGGGAAGCCGUGUGAAAGGCUCCCAACCGGAGAAUGAAGAUCACUGAGUUCCAGAAACAUUUAAGAAAGUUUGGGGAUUAUUGGACUCAGAAGCUGGUGGCAGACUGCCUUGUACACAUCAGUCCCCUCUGCUUCUUAGCCAUAGUCACACUGCGUGCUCGCCUUGGAAUGAUGUCCAGGAAGCUCACUAUGUUUCCAGGAUUCACUUUCACGUCUUUAAAGCUGAUCUCUUCCCCUUCGAAGUGUGACAGGCCCGGUCUGGAUGAACGGGGCCCGCCUCCGGGACCACAAGUGCCUGCCCAUGGAGCUUCUAAGGAGGAUCCUGUCACCCUAGUGGACCACACCUCUGACCUCCAGAGACACAGGUGAGUCUGUCGUCGGUCCGGUGCUUCAGAUGCCGGCCACAGACCACGGGCCUCUCUCACUUCUGACCGAUUGGCUGUCAAUUGGUUCCCAUGACCCCCUCCUCAGGUCUGAUCAUUUGGUAGAAUGGCUCCCAGAACUCCGGGAAAGACAGUGCCAGGGUUUAUUGGUUAAUCAUAAAGGAUACAAAUGAACGACCAAAUGGAGGAGACACCUGGGGAGAGGCACAGGGGCAGGUGCACCGAACUCCCUUGCCCUCUGUGAGCUCACCACCCCCCUCCCACUGCCCCGGCAGCUCCAACUCGGAAGUUCUCCAAACCUCGUAGUUCAGGGUUUUUUACAGAGAUUUCGUUACGCAGCCACGGUUAAUUAAAACAUUGGCUGUUGGUGAUGAGCUCACUUUCCAGCCCCGCUCCCUUCCCUGUCAUCAUGCGGUUGGCCCCUCUCCUACCAGCCCCCAUCCUGAAACUCUGGGGACACCAAGAGCCACCUUAUCAGCACAAACACAGAUAAGGUUGAAAAGGGCUCUUCAUGAAUACGUCGGAGGCUCCUUUCACUCCUAUCUCUCGGGAUUUUAAAAUACUCUAUGCCAGGAACCAGGGACAAAGACCAAAUAUAUAUUUCUUUCUUUCUUUCUUUCUUUUUUUUUUUUAAGUUUAUUUAUUUAUUUUAAGACGGGAGACAAGUGGGGAGGGGCAGAGAGAGAGGGAGAGAGAGAGAAUCCCAAGCAGGCUCCGUGCUGUCAGUACAGAGCCCGACGCAGGGCUUGAACUCACGAAUUGUGAGAUCAUGACCUGAGCCGAACUCAAGAGUCAGAUGCAUAACCCACUGAGCCAUCCAGGCAACUCCCCCCAAAUAAACAUUUCUUAUUAUAUCA